UCUACAUGGACAGGGUUCGUUCGACCGUUUGGCCCAUUAAAACGUUUCCCUAUAGAGGCCCUUUUGACACGAAGUAUUUUCCCUUGAAAAUAAAUCGUCCGAGGGUGAUGCCCCGCAGUAUUCGAGGUUGAAUGUAGAGAAGCCUAGGAUACAUUUGAAUUGUCCCCAGGUAGUACAUAUAAUUACUGCAUCAUUAAAAACCUCGCCAGAAAAGUCCAUUUGGGAUAAAAUUGAUCUAUGGGGAAAAAAGUGCAACACGUGCUUUAAACCUAAGGUUCUCGUGUUGAAGAGCUUCCCGACGUCUUCAGUCAAACACCUGCAAUAAGUUAGUAUCAAAUAUAAAUGGAAAGGGAGAAAGUCAUACCUUAGCAAUAAUAUCGUUUGAGGAGUGAUAUAUUCUAAUUGUUUGGCAAUUGUUCGCCAUCCAUUAUGCCAAGUCUGUAAGACCCCUUUCCAAUGAUACCGAGGACCUCAUAUGGUCCCUCCCAAUUUGGGCCUACAUUCCCUUUGUUUGAGUCUCGAGUAUUAAGGUUGACUUCCCUCAUAACUAUGUCUCCUAUUUUGAAAUGUCAAAGAUUGGCCCUUCGAAUAUAAUAUAUUUCGGUUCGAUGUUCCUAAGUGGCCAUUCGAACGAGGGAGGCUUACCCUUUUUCGUCAAAAAAUUCUAGUCUUAUGCUCAUAGCCUCGUGACUUGAUUCUUCUGUUACGUAUCGAAACCUGAUGCUUGGUUCCCCGACUUCGAUCGGCAUCAGAGCUUCGACGCCAUAUACUAACAAGAACGACGUUUCCCCUGUACUGGAUUUUGUCGUUGUCCGAUAUGCCCAAAGGAAUUCAGGUAAAAAUUUCUCCCCACUUCCCCUUAGCAUCUUUAACCUUUUUCUUUAGGUUUUAAAUGAUGGUCUUGUUAGUUGAUUCGACCUGUCCGUUCCAACUAGGAUGAUAUGACAUGGAUAAAAUUCUUUUAUUUUGUGAUCCUCGAGUAACUUUGGUACUUUUCUGCCGAUAAAUUAUUUUCCAUUGUCGCACACGAUUUCAGUAGGUAUCUCGAAUCGGCAUAUGAUAUGAUCCUAGAUGAAGUCUAUAACUUCUUUUUCUCUGAUUUUCUCGAAGUCAUGUUCUUCCACCCAUUUAGAGAAGUAGUCAGUCAUAAAUAAAAAGAAUUUAGCUUACCUGGAAAUGAUGUCAAAUGGUCGACGAUAUCCAUCCCCCAUUUCAUGAACGACCACGAGGAUAGGACCAAAUGAAGUUGUUCUUUGGGCUACUGGAUUAUUGGUGCUACCUUUGUAAUUUAUCAGAUUUUUGAACAAACUCCUUAGUGUUUUUUCCAUAUUAUCCCAAUAGUAUCCUGCUCUGGUGAUUUUGUGAACUAGAUGUUCGGCACCGAGUGGUUCCCACAAGUACUUUCAUGGACUUCCCGUAUAGCAUAAUCAAUGUCCCAUGGUCCCAAACAUACUGCUAAUGGUCCGUCGAAUGUCAUUCUGUACAAUAUUUCAUCUUCGGCCAAAGUGAAUCAAGCAGCAUUUGUACCUAAUGCCCUCGAUUCAUUAGGGUCCAAUGGGAGCUUUCCAUUUUUCAAGUACUCGAUAUAUCUAUUCCUAAAGUUAAGCUCAUGGAAUUUAUCUCAGCGUGACCUUCUUCAAGCACAGAUCACAAGAGUUGAAUGACAGACCCCAAGCUAAUUUUGUCCUCCUCGAGUGACGACCCCAGAUUUGCGAGAGCAUCGGCUUCGCGGUUAUGCUCGCAAGGUACGUGCUUCAAGGUCCAUUCUUUAAAAUGGUGCAAAGUCACAUGUAGCUUAUCCAAAUACCUUUGCAUUCUAUCCUCUCGAACCUCAAAGGUUUUGUUUAAUUGGUUUACCACCAACAAAGAGUCGAACUUGGCUUCAAUGACUUACGCCCCCAAGCUUUUAGUUAGUUCGAGACCUGAAAUCAUGGCCUCUUACUUGGCCUAAUUUUUAGUUAGCUUAGAAGUUUUGAUGGAUUGUCUAAUGUGUUUCUCGUGGGCGGCUUCAAAACAAUACCUAGCCCGGACCCCUUCACAUUCGAGGUGUCAUCUGUGAAAAGGGUCCACACCCCCGAUGAUGUACCUAAUUUUAAUGAGAGUUCCUUCUCGAUUUCGGGUACGAGGGUUGGCGUGAAAUCGACCAUAAAGUGUGCUAAAAUUUGAGACUUGAUGGCCGUUCGGGGGUGAAAUUUGAUAUGGUACACACUUAGUUCGAAAACUCAUUUGGAAAAUCGACCUGAUAGCUCGGGCUUAUGCAAUAAAUUGCAAAGUGGGUAAGAGGUUAAUAAACAUAUGGGGUGACAUUGAAAAUACGGUUUUAGCUUGCAAGACAAGCUUAUCAAUGCAAGUGCCUGAAAGUACAAAAGGGAGGGUGAAUUGUGAAUAAUUUAAACUUAAUCGUAAAUAAGUCGACUUAAAACUUUAUUAGUCGACUGAGACGAUACUUCAGGUGAAGAUAUUCGAAUAUAAUUAUGCAGAAAGUAAGUGCAAAAAUAUAAAUGUGACAUUAAAUUUUAUACUGCUUCGGAUUCAAUGUGAAUCAUAAUCCACUCCCAUUGGGUUGCAAGGGAUUUCUCUCAGAUUAAUCAUUUUCUUUUGAGUACAGAUAUAAUACUUAUCGCACAAUCUUCUUUCACUUGUUUGAUACAAUGCCUCGCCAAUUGAGAACUCUCUUUCUAUCUCUGACUUGUUACACAAUUAAUCACCGGUUGAAUCCGGAAUCGAGGCAAAUAAUGACUAUAUUACAGUCUGCGUAUCAGAAAUCCGGAUAAGGAAUUCUGUUUACUCAGGAGAAGGUGUUAGGCAUUCCCGAGUUCCGUGGUUCUAGCACAGUCGCUCAACUGUUAUAUUCGGUUUAUUUAUCUGAUUUUAACAAUUAUGUACCUAGUGCAAGUCAUGAUUCUUUUAACCGCUUUUCUUAUUAUUAUUAUUAUUAUUUUAAUAAAGCUAAAGCUUAAAGGGAAAGCAAAAGCCAAAGUUAAAGCAAAAGUUAAAGCAAAAGCAAAAGCAAAAGCAAAAAGUUAAAGCAAAAGUAAAGUAAAAGUUAAAAUUAAAGCAAAAGUUAAAGUUAAAGCAAAAGUUAAAAUUAUAGCAAAAGUUAAAGAAAAAACGGUGUUAUUAUUUUAGGAGAGAAUUGCAACGUCGCGAAACGUAUUUUUAACCACGUCACAACCAGUGUACACGUGAUCUUCGACACAUUCCGACUUCGUUGGACUUUGAUUUGGGUCACAUCAAUGUACAUCCGGGUUUAAGAAGGUAAUGUUUUUAAAAUACGCGCCUAACGAGUCUAACGAGUUAUUAUUUUGGGGACACUACUAGAAUUCGGCCAAAAAGCGACCAAAAAAUAGCGACCAAAUUUGGUAUGUCAAAAAAAGCGACCAAAUUAGGUCGCCAAACUGACGAAAAUAAUAAAAAAAUAUUUGAAAUAAUUUAACGAUCGAAUUUGGUCGCCAUUUGGACGCAAAGUUAGUCAAACGGUUGACUUGACUGGUCAGACUAGCUUGGUCAAAAAUAUUCUGAGUUUAGCAACCAACAUUUGUCGCAAUAGUGGGACCCACAAAGGUUUUUAAAGUAAUUUUAUUAGUAUUUUAUAAAACUUAUAAAAUAUAAAUAUAUAUAAUUUAAAACUUGCGACCAAAGUUGGUCGCUAACUGAAGGAUAAGAAGUUAGCGACCAAGUUUCUAAAGCGGGACCCAGAUAUAAUAUUUUAAUAAAUAUGUAUUUAUUUAAAAAAUUUAUGAAAUAUAAAUAAAUAUAAUUCAAAUUUUAGCGACCAAAGUUGAUUGCUUAGUGAACUAGAGAUCAACGUUGGCCGCCAAUGUGGGACCCAGUUCCAACGUUUAACAAUUUUUUUAAAUAUUAUAUAAAAUAUAAAUAAAUCUGUUUUAAUUUUAGUGACCAAAUUUGGUCUCUAAAUUAAAUUCAUGUACAGUUAGUGACCAACUUUGGUCGCUAAAUUAAAUUAAUUUUAAGUUAGUGACCAAAGUUGGUCUCUGUAUAGUCAAAAUUAAAAAUCACUUUUGUAUUUAUUAUGUAAAUAAUAUAAAUGUAAGUAGUUAAUACUUUCGUAAUACAAGGGAUCAAUAGUACCACAAAAUCGGGCGUGCGUGUCUAUAUAUAUAUAGCUAAUAUUGAUCGUUUGACCAAAUUAGCGACCACAGUUGGUCGCUAUUUUUGACUGUUUGACCAAAAGGCGACUACUUUGGUCGCUUUAGUAGUAUAUAUGAAAAUAGAAAAAAAUAUUUCAUUUAUUUAUUUUGAAAUAUAGCGACCACAUUUGGUCGCUUUUUUGGUCAAACGGUCAAAAAUGGCGACCAACUUUGGUCGCUAAUUUGGUCAAGCAGUCAAUACUUAUAUAGCUACCAAAUUAGCGACCAAUUUUUUUGAUACCAGAUCUCAAAAUCGGGUUUCCCCUCCCAAAAUCUUAUUUUCAUUUUCAAAUUUCCCAAAACUCUCUCUACUCCCCUUCUCUAUUUCCCUCACACAAAUCAAUCCCCCACCCAGCGCCACCAUUGUGACCUCGUACCACCACCGCCGGAACCGCCGCUGUUAAAGUCCUCCCUCCGAUUCGUCGCUGUUGAAAUUGUUGUGCCACCUUCGCCGCUGCCACUGUCCGCCGGAGCACCAUUUGAAAAGCUUUUUAAUUAUAUUUUUUAUCUACCAAGGUUAGUAAUAUACCUUAUUAGCUUUUUAAUUUAUAAUUUUUGCUAUACAGUUUUAUGUAAUUGGUUAGUGUGUUUGUCUAUUUAGUAUUAGGGUUUCGUAUAAAUUAUGAACUUAAGGUAAAAAUUAGGAACUACCUUAAAUUAUGAAUUUAUGGUUCUUAAGAGAACUCAAAUUAAUGUAUUANNNNNNNNNNNNNNNNNNNNNNNNNNNNNNNNNNNNNNNNNNNNNNNNNNNNNNNNNNNNNNNNNNNNNNNNUAAACUUUUUGGAUAUGAAUUGAACUUUUAGUUAAUGAAUUGAACUUUUAGGAUAUGAAUUAACUAAUUUAAUUUGUUCUUGCUUUAUUUAAAUAGACGAAACAUCGUUCUUGGAUGUACAAUAUGAAUUAUCCUAAUCGGCGGGGAUUGCGGGAGGAUUUUGUAGAUGGGGUUGAGGACUUUAUUAGACAUGCAACGUCACUUCCGCCAUACAUAAAAGAAGGAGUAAUUAGGUGCCCUUGUGUCAAGUGCGACUGUAUUAUAGCCAUUCAACGUUACUUCCGCCAUACAUAAAAGAAGGAGUAAUUAGGUGCCCUUAUAUUAAGUGCGACUAUGAUGUUUGGAAAUCCGGAGGAGGUUAAGGUUCAUCUUUAUAGGAAGGGUUCAUAGCGAAUUACUUUGUGUGGACUAAUCAUGGAGAGAUAGAUGGUAGCCAUGGGAUAUUUCAUAACUUGGUUGUUGGUGAAAGUAGUAGGUCGAUGGAGAAUAGAAAUAGUGAUUCCAGAAUGCAUGAUAUGGUUGCGAAUGCUUUUGGAAUGCACUUUGGGGGUGAGCCCAACGUAAAAUGUUGAACAAACUCCUAAUGAUGAAGCAAGACAUUUUUAUGAACAUAGAGGAAGCUAGUCGUCCACUACGUAAAGGACGUCCUCACUUUGAGUUGUCUGUUGCAGUUAGAUUACUAAGCAUCAAAUCUGAUUGGAAUAUUUCUCAAGCAACCAUGGAUUCUUUCAUUGACCUUAUACGUGAACUAGUUGACGAGGAAAUCAAAUUACCUGGCGAUUCUAUAAGGCAAAGAGAUUAGUUUCUAAGUUGGAACUUUUGUCAAUGAGAAUUGAUUGCUGUGAGGAUGGUUGCAUGUUAUAUUAUAAAGAUGAUGCAAAUUUAAGCUGCUGUAAAUUUUGCGGAAAGCCUCGUUUCAAGAGGCUUUCCAGCGGGAAGAUGGUCGCUAUCAAGGCGAUGUAUUAUUUACCUCUUAUACCUAGGCUAAAGAGGUUAUAUGCUUCGAUGAAUUAUGCUUCUCAUAUGAGAUGGCGCUUUGAAAAUAGAAGACCACCUGGUGUUAUGUUCCAUCCUUCAGAUGGAGAAGCUUGGAAGCACUUUGAUAGGACAUAUCCAGAUUUUCUAGUGAACCAAGGAACAUUCAGUUAGGUCUGUAUGCGGAUGGCUUCACGCCUUUUUUGUAUAUGUGACACCGUAUUCAUGUUGGCCUGUCUUUCUUACACCUUAUAAUAUACCACCCGAGUUGUGCAUGAAUACUCCAUAUAUAUUCUUAAAUUGUAUUAUCCCCGGUCCACGUUAUCCAAAAAAGUUGAUAGAUGUAUAUUUGCAACCUUUGAUUGAUGAGCUAAAACAAUUGUGGUACGAUGGUGUUGAAACAUAUGACAUAUCAACCAAGCAUAAUUUCAAUUUGCGUGCUAAUUUAAUGUGGACAAUUGAUUUUCUUGCGUAUGGAAUGUUGUCUAGGUGGAUGACUGCUGGGAAGCUAGCUUGUCCUUACUGCAUGUAAAAUAGUAAAGCGUUCACUUUGAAACAUGGCCGAAAGCAAUCAUGAUUUGAUUGUCAUCGUCAAUUCUUGCAUGAGGGUCAUGAGUUUAGAAGGAUGAAAAAUGCUUUCAAAAAGAAUAAACUGGAAUAUGAUUAUCCACCUCCGAUACGUUAAGGUGAGGAAAUUUGGGAGAGGGUCCAGAAAUACAGUAAAGUUACUAAAGUUUCACCGCAUAGAUUCUCCGAAUACGUGAGGAAAUUUGGGAGAGGGUCCAAAACUACAAUAAAGUUACUGAAGUUUCACCGCGCAGAUUCCCCGGAUACGAUGUUAUUCAUAAUUGGACCAAACAGAGUAUAUUUUGGGAGUUGCCUUAUUAGAAGGAUAAUCUUUUCCGUCACAACCUUGAUGGCAUGCAUAUUUAGAAGAACUAUUUUGACAAUUUGUUCAACACAGAGAUGGAUGUUAAAGGUAAGACAAAGGAUAACCCGAAGGCUAGAGUGGACUUACAAGAUAUUGCAAGCGGCCUGAAUUACACUUGCAGACAACAAACAAUGGUUAGUUAUUCAAGCCCAAAGUAAGUUACACAUUCACUUUGGAGGAAAGGCGGCAGAUUUGUGAUUGGGUAACGAAAUUGAAGAUCAAAGCAAGUUACACGUUCACUUUGGAGGAAAGACGACAAAUUUGUGAUUAGGUAACGAAAUUGAAGAUGCCUGAGGAUUUAUGCUUCGAAUUUUGGAAAAAAAGUUUAUAUGGAGGUAGGGAAGUUGAGCAUUUGAAAAGUCAUGACUGUCAUGUUUUCAUGGAGACCUUAGUGCCUAUUGCGUUUUCUGGUUUUCCUGAAAGAAUCUGGAAACCCAUCACUGAGAUUAGUUAAUUUUUCAAAGACUUGUGUUCUUUCACAUUAAGGGAAGAAAACAUACGCCGGAUGGACCAGAACAUUCAUGUAACUUCGGGUAAGAUGGAAAAGAUAUUUUCAUGUGGGCUUUUAAUGUGAUGGAACACCUUCCAAUCCACCUUGUACACGAGGCACGACUUGGAGGGUCUGUUCAAUGCAGAUGGAUGUAUCCCUUUGAGAGGUAAUACUAUAGUCCAUAUAUAAUCUUUUGUCUUAUUUGAAUGUUCUUGGCUAACCCAAAAUUAUGCAGGGCAAUGGCAAAUGCAAACAAUUUGUUAAGCAGAGGAAUAGAAUUGAAGGAUCUAUAUAAGAAGCUUAUUUUGCAAAGGAAACUUCUCAUUUUUGUUCUUAUUAUUUUGAGAGCAACGUGCCAUGUGCUAGAAAUAGGCCCAACAGGCACACGGUUGACCUUACGAAUGAUCCAUUAUAUCCGCCUAUGUCCAUAUUCAAUCAACCAGGCCGAUGUUCUAAGGAUGGUAGAAAGAGAAGUUUGAGUGAUAUGGAGUUCAAGUCAGCUACACUUCAUGUGUUACUAAAUUGUCCCGUAGUAGUACCAUUUUUCAAGUAAGUAUUGAUUUAAUAAUUAUCAAAAUAAAAAAUUUACUGUAAUUACAUCUCAAUGCAACUACUAAAAUAUUUGAUGUGUCACGGUCACUUCGUGGGUCAAUUUGGCUAAGAUGCUGUAUAUACGGCAUUUCCUAGGUGGUUUAAACAAUUUGUAAGUAUAUCCUUAAAAUAUUCUAACACUAUGUAGGUAAACAAUGUUUGAAAGUUAUGCUAACUUAUGAAUUUGUUAACAAUAUGUAGGUAAAUGAUCCAAAUAAUGGUGUAAAUCAAUUUUCGAAAGAUAUAUCUUGGGGACCUGGGGUUGAGGUCACAAUAUAUUCCAAGUACGUUGUGACUAGUUAUAAGUUUCAUACAUAGGGUUGCUCUAAAAAUAAAAAAAGAAACAACAGUGGGGUGUGGGUUCAAGGUGGUGAUGGCAACCAAGUUUGAAAUAUUGAUUAUUAUGGUGUGCUCAAAGAAAUAAUAGAACUAGAAUAUUCAGGUAGGCCAUUUAAGAAAAUUAUUCUCUUUAGAUGCACGUGGUUUGACUCAAAUCCAACAAAAGGUAUGAGAGUUCUCAAUCAAUACAACAUAAUUGAGGUUAAUUAUACGAGGGAGUAUGAUCGAUACGAUCCUUUCAUAAUUGCACAUAAUGUUAGGCAAGUGUAUUAUUCUCCUUGUCCAUUUCGGUGGAAUAAGGCCGAUUGGUGGGUUGUAAUCAAAACUAAGGCUGUAGGUAGGGUCGAAGUCGAGAAUGCGUUGGAUGUUGCAUAUCAAAAUGAUAUCUCCAGUGUUCACAAAAUAGUGGACGAACUUUUAAAAAAUGAUUUGGAACAUCCUGAACACAUAUUGGAAGAAGUUGAUAUAAAUGAAGUAAGAAUUAGUGGACGAACUUUUAGAAAAUGAUUUGGAAUAUCCUGAACACAUAUUGGAAGAAGUUGAUAUAAAUGAAGAAAGAAUUAUAGAAAACGAGGAAGAAGAAUCAACUGAUGAAGCUCAAACUAGUGAGGAAGAAGAAUUCUCUGACGAGGAAGAAGAAUUCUCUGACGAGGAAGAUUACGUCAAUGAGCUUUAAAAAGUUGGUUUCUUAGAUACCUCUCGUUUAUAGAUAGUUUUCUUAUAUGUUUCAAUCUAAAUUAUGUAUUAUAUUAUGCAGAUGACAUGAAAAGGUCGAGGUAACAAUGAAGGUAGUGGUUCUCAGGGAAAAGAAAAGGCUAGGGAGCAAAAGAGGAGGGUAGAAGAUAGUACUUAUCAAUCUUUUCCACACUCUUCUGAUUUGCCUGCCACUAUGCCACAGCCUCUACCCAUUGGCUAUACUGAGCUGCCACAACAUCACUAGCCCUACACCUUUGUGCAGACCAGUCUUCAAAGGGCCAUCAGACUGCGUCCAAUAUACAGUCCACCUCCCUCACAACCACGUGCAUCCCGCCCAGCAACAUCACAUGGAUCACAUCGAUCCAUUUCACAGCCACAAGGAUCAAAUCCAUCAGUCUCACAGCCAGUCGGGUCACAGCCACUCGGGUCAAAACAGUCAGUAUCAUAGCCACUUGUGAUCCGUGCAGCUAUGUCGCAGUCACAGGGAACACAUCUAUCGUCAUUAGCAACUCCACUUAUUGGAGGCCUUCGCUUGCGAGAUAGUAGCUCUGACCCCCUACUCCGUCCACACAUGCCUCUGAUACAUAUGAUGCUGAUGUUGCUGCUGGUGAGGAGGUGAAUUAUGAUCAGUAUGGUAGGAUCAUCAUAGUCCCUGAGGGUGAUGGGUAAGAGUUAUUUGUUAUUUUUAUGUUUAUUAUUUUGUACAGUUUUUACUAAGAAANNNNNNNNNNNNNNNNNNNNNNNNNNNNNNNNNNNNNNNNNNNNNNNNNNNNNNNNNNNNNNNNNNNNNNNNNNNNNNNNNNNGUACAGUUUUUACUAAGAUAUUAAUUUGUUUUAUUUAUUAAAUUGCAGGUUCCUCCCGAGUAAUAUUACUACGAGGAUAAUCACCAAAGCAACUAGAAAGUUUUAUGAUGCCCCUUAUGCGUCUUGGCGUGAAUUCCCAUUCUCACUGAAGAAGGCAAUUUUCAAUAAAUUUAAGGUAUAAAUGUUCUUUUAAGCAGUAUAAUUAUUUAUAUUUAGGAUAUUUCCAUAUANNNNNNNNNNNNNNNNNNNNNNNNNNNNNNNNNNNNNNNNNNNNNNNNNNNNNNNNNNNNNNNNNNNNNNNNNNNNNNNNNNNNNNNNUGAUUAUUUAUAUUUAGGAUAUUUCCAUAUAAUAUUUAACUUUUGAAAUACAAAGCAAGUGUGUAUGGGUACGCCAGUAUAGCACGGACGUGGCUGCAAAUUUUGAUCUCAAAGAUCGCAAGCGAUUGUCGCAUGCUUUCUCCAUAGCUAGAAAGCUGAACCAGAAGCUUGGCUGGUUGCUUCAGGAGUAUUGGGAUGAUUUUCAAAGGCAAUGGCUUACUGCAAAGUUCUUACAGAAGAGCGAAAAGGGGAAGAAAGCUCGGGCAUCUGAGAAGGGAGGAUCCUUGCACACCGGAGGUGCGGUCAGCCAAGGGACAAUAAAAAGAAUAAUGGUACGUAAUUGCAUAAUAUAUUUUAAUUUUCAAAGUAUAUCUAUUCUAUUUAUUAAUCAAAAUUUAUAAGUUUCAGGAAAAGAAUUUGGGCCGUCCGAUAAACCAAGAUGAGCUUUUCAAGGAGACUCAUAUUGUGAAGAAGAAGAAAGAGACGGAUGGGAAAAAAAAGUUCGGCCGUCCGAUGAACCAAAGAUGAGCUAUUCAAGGACUCAUAUUGUGAAGAAGAAGAAAGAGACGGAUGACGAAAGGUGGGUCGAGGAACGUGCCUCGAAUGUACAAGUAAGUUUUCACUUUUCAUUAAAUAUUUUCAUUUACUUUUAUAUAAAUUUUGAAAUACUAAUUCAAUUUACUCUUUCUUAUAGGAUCGCUUAAGAGUUGAAGCUGAUGAAUUCAUACGCAACCAGUCACCUUGUGAGUCGGGCGAGCCAUUCGAACUUUCGGCCGAGGAUAUUGAAAGAUUAUGGACGCGGGCUGCAGGCGGUCCAAAAUGCGGGAAGGUAUACGGCCUUCCUACUAAGACACUCUAUCGUUAUAGGUGUGGAGUGCAAGGAAUAGGGACUUCCUCACAAGCCGAGCAACUUGAUGGGGAGAGCUCUCCUCUAUGCGGGAGACUGUGUCAAAGCUCACAUCCGAGCUAGAAGAGUCCAAGAAAAUAGAAAAGCUUAGAGAUGCUCAGUAUGUUGGCGUGGUCACUCAGUUCCAGAACAUGCAAGAGUAGAUAAAAUAUCUCCUAGCUGGAUCUUUUUCGAUUCCUCGGUCUCGGUCAUCAUCGCUAGAGGCUGCCGUCCCCGUGCUCGUUCGUCCCGUCCUCCAAGAGGUCGUUCCUCCCGUCCUCCCCAUGAUCAUUCUUGCCGUCAUCGGCAAGUAAACCCUUCUCAAUACCGUGAUGAUGAUGAUGACGAUGAAAGUUCAUCAGACAAUGAUUGUAUUGAUGUAUCAAACAAUGAAUGAAUUGUAGAUAAUUUUAACUAGACAAAUACAAUUUAUUUUCCAUUGGGUUGUAAUAAGAGUUAACAUAAUAGCUUGAUAGUUUGAAUGUUUUCCAUUGGUAGUUCUAUUGAAAUUAACACUUUCUUGGUUUUAAUGUAGCUUUUAAUGUUAUUUUUGUAUAGUUGGGUUAUUGUUUGGUAUUAUUAUUGUAAUCGUUAUUUGAAUUGUUGUUGUUGUUGCUUGUUAGGGUUUUGGUAUGACUGGCAGGUGGUGUAGCUGCCAAAACAGACAGUUUCUGCCAAAAUAAUACACAGAAAAGCGACCAGAGUUGGUCUCUAGUUGGUCACUUUUCAAGUUAAAAACAAUUUUCUGGAAAAUAGCGACCAAAGAUUUCUUAAAAAAGCGACCAACGUUGGUCGCUAUCUCAUUAAAAAAAUCUGCUAAUAUAGAGACCAGAUUUGGUCCCUAUUUUUUAAAAAUUAAAUUAAAUUCAUGUAAUUAGGGACCAAUGAUGGUCGCUAAACUAAUAAAUAAAUAAAUAAUUGAAUAAAAUAGUGACCAAUAAUGGUCUCUAGUUUCCAUAUUUUAAAAUACAAUUUGUAGAUUAGAGACCAAAGUUGGUCUCUAUUGUCAACAUCCGGAAAAAUGGGUCCAUUUAGAGUAGAGACCAAAGUUGGUCGCUAAUUAGCGACCAAAUUUGGUCCCUAAAUAAAAAGGACCAUCAAUAUAGCUACCAGACCACUUUGGUCGCUUUUUGGUCGCUUUUUAGCCAAAAAGCGACCAACUUUGGUCGCUUUUUCCCGAAUUUCUAGUAGUGGGAAGACCGUACAAUUAGCAAAACGGCACAUCCCGGAAUCUAAGUAUUUUUAAUAUAUACAUUUAUGAGGGCCCCACAGUUUACAUUUUUUAUUUGGCGAGGCUCAUCUCAUUUUAUUAUUUAAAAGACAAAGCUAUAGCAACUAUGAUUUUCUAUUUUAUUUGUAUCCAAGCCAAUUUAUUUAAAACAUUAUACUGAAUAAACUUAUACCCAAAGUUUCAUCAGUAAUUAAACCAACAUGAGUAUUACCGCCUAAUCAUUCCAAAAUAGAUGAUGAGAGUAGUAAAAUUAACAACAAAUAUUAUAUUUAACAACAAAUACUCACAGCAAAUAUCAUAUUCAACACAUGUAAUUUCAGAUCCAUAUUAUUAAACAGGACCAAACAAAUUUAUUUCAAACAAGCCAUGGAUGGACAUAUGAGAGUAGUAAAAUUAGAGAGAUGAGGUAUAAUAACCGAUCUUACUAUCAAAAUCAAUUGAAACUGACCGUAGACUUCGAAUGGCGACCUCGACGGAACCUCGUCGAACUUUAAUCGGACUGACUCACUUGUCCUCCGCUUAUCGUUACUGUUUUUCGAACCCCAGCCAGCUAUGGUGAACGGGUGGUCGUUUGGAGGUGGUCGACUGGAGUUUGGUCGUGAGGGAGUGGUCGACGGGAGGGAAACGGUUCAGCGUGGCUGUUGCUGUUGCUGGACGAACGGAGGCGUGGGUGGUUGGGGACGACGAUGAAGAUCGUUUGUUGCUGGAUGACGCAGCAGGUUCAAGUGUGACGGGUGGUGAGGGACUGAUUGGGACGUGAGGCAGCAGGUUGAGAAGCGACUGAGAUGGGGAUGAGGAUGAGGACGGUGGUCGUGUGGUUGGCGUGACAGUAGGGGACUGUUUGGGACGGAGGGGUUCGGGCGUUGCUGGAGGUUUUUAGUUUGUUUUUGUCUUCUUCAAAAUGAAGAAGAAAGUUCAACAGUCCUCCUCCUCUAGUUGUGUAUAUGUGUGUGUUAUUUAUAUCAGGAAAAUAAAGAGACACCCCUCCCCCAAGAAAAACGUGACCAGCCCUUUUCUUUUCAAUUUUUUUUUUGCUGUGCAAAAUCCCUUUUUCUCUUUCUUUUCC
rnacentral:lncRNA from 1 species